GGGUGGUUAACUCAGCAGGCAGAGUAGCUGACUCUUAAUCAGCAGGUCGCGAGUUCGAUUCUCGCACCACCCACCA
rnacentral:tRNA from 1 species